rnacentral:tRNA from 1 species
GGGGUUGUGGCUCAGUGGUAGAGCACUCGCCUGCACACGUGAGGCACUGAGUUUGAUCCUCAACACCACA